UAAGACUUAAAAUACACACGCAUUUACUUAAAUAUUACAUCUAACAAACAUUUUUUAUUCCUUGAAAAAGAAGCAAAAAUAAAAAGGAAUACCAAAAGGCUGUGUUUUUAUUAUUAACAUUUCAUACAAAUGAUGGAAUCAAAUUCACAAUUUUAGUUAAUACUUACUGGAAGUAUUUUAAUUACAAAUAAAUAAUAACUCAAUGAGUUAUUUCUCAUUUAUAAAACGUUUAAUUGUUUAUAAAACAAAUUCGGAUCAGGUAAUAUUUCGCUAAUAUAUGGUAAAAUUGCUUGUUUACUCAAAAAAUUUUUUUGCCGCAUAUACUCCCAGCAUUUGCAACACUAGAAUUUAAUAUUUUGAAGUAUGAUAUUUAUAUUAACUUGUGUGACAAAGAAUCGUCGUUACUAUCUGACGAUAAUCGAUAAUGGCUGCAUUACCGUACCUGUUCCAUGUUAGAUUCAAUUCACUGGCUAAUACAUAUAGCUACUAGAUAUGUAGACACUCUAAUAUACACAUGCAAGGUUAAUUUAAAUUUUGUUUUCAAAUAAUAAAACCUGUCAUUUCAAAUCACGCAUUCAACCAAUAAGACCUUACCGCGUUCGACAAUCAACAUGGCCGAUUUAUCAUUUUUAUAGAUCCUGUUAAAUGUUCAGGAAAACCGAGUUAAGUGCUCAAAAUGCGAGUUAGAAAGUAUCUUUGCCUUCUUAUCUAAUAGCUAUAUGGGAACAUACGGUUGUUAGCUAGUAUGGUGAUUGUAAGGUCGAAAAAAUGGAUACACGUCAGGGGGAAAUCGGGAGGAUUUCUGGAGUAGUCUAAAAAAUCCGCUAAGACGCCGCAAAGCAAACUCUCGCUGAUGUCAUGACUUUAUCGCUCGAAUGAAAAAUCUGAAAAUGCUUGUCAUAGUUUUACGGUACGAGAUCGCUAAAUUAAGACUAUAGAGAGACUUGUUACUGCAGCCUAAGAUUUACGAUAUUUACAGUCCCGUGUUAUCUAAUAGCUAUAUGUUAAUAACCAAUGGAAAACAAAGUGGAAACUGUUCUUUGUUAUUGACGUCUAUAUACAAUAUGUACGUACUAUCUACAAAAACUAAACGAAUUUUUGUUUCUAAUUAUCGAAAAGGACAUGACUAUACAUUUUUUGUAAAUGUCGUCUAAUUUGAGUUUACAUAACGUAAAUAAUAUUAAAACUGUCUUGAAUAUUUUACAAAGAAACGGUUUGACAUAACUAUUUUUCUGGGUCGCCUAAAUCUAUCAUGCAAAUCACUUUAUUCGCGAACUAGAAACCUUCAGGCGAUGUCGUCAGUUGCUGCCGUUUCAUGCGAUAGAUAUAAAAAACGCUAUUCAGAAAACAAUAUUCUGCACGAAAUCAUUACACAGUCGUCUUUCGUUAUAAUAAGUUAAAAAGCGACAAGCAAGUAAGCUUAAGAGAAAACUGAAUUAUUUGUGUUAUAAGAUUAAAGGUAAAAAAUAUUUUUUUUAGUAAUAAUUAAAACUCAGCUGAAUGUGCACUAAAAAAAAUGCCUGUUUACCUUAGUUCUUUAAACCCCAAAUAAAAAAUCGUAGUUAAUGUAAUUGGGAAAAUUUCUUCUGUUUGUUUCAAGAUUGAUUGCUUUUUAAACGGUUUCCAAAAACAAUAUUUAAAGUGAUUAAAAUCUUGGAUCUGUAGACAUACACCCCAGGCACAAAUUGUUUUAUAGUAAAGAUUUUGUCAAAAACAGAAGGGCCUGUAAUGCGUAAUAAACUGUUUCAGAAUAAACUACGUAGCUUAUCAUUGUUAAACAUCAUUGACAUAUUACGAAAAUAUUCGUAAAUUCUCAUCGCUAAUAAAACUAGCAGAACAUAAUAAACACUACGGAAAACCUAUUCGGAACUGGGUGUGAUUGAACUAUGUUAAAAUUCCUUCUUCCCAAAUGACUGUGGUGGUUUAUCUAAUCCUUCGUGUUCUGUGAAAUAACCUAUAUUCCGUUUUAGCGUGUUUUGUUAAAUAUAUUUUAGAAUUAUGUUUGCAAAAGUGAGACUUUCCGAAGAGGAAUUGUUUGUAGACGCUGAGGACGAUCUGGCCGUUAAUAUUAAAAAUUGUGAGAUUAAUGAUUUUAAGCAGGAACUUUAUAGUGACGAGAUUUCUGACUACUCUAGUCCUGAAUUCCCAGACGAAGACGACGUUUUAUCUGGAAACUUUAGAGAAAGCAGGCAUGACAAUUCACAGAAUAUAUCUAACAAAAUCAAUAAAUACCAGCCUAAUGAAAACCUGUUUAAGAAAUUUUGUAAUAGGAUAAAUGUGGAAAGCUACAAAUCUUCCUUUCCGAGCCACGCUAUCAGUAGUUUGUUGGUAAAUGAAAAACGAACUGAAAAUGAAAGAAAAAGGGUAAAGGAUAAGCAUGAUCGAGCUACUGUAGAGCAGGUUAUGGAUCCACGUACAAGAAUGAUACUGUUUAAGUUGCUGAAUAGGAGUGUGAUUUCCGAGAUAAAUGGUUGUAUUUCUACUGGUAAGGAAGCCAAUGUGUAUCACGCUUCUUCAAAUUCUGGAAUGGACUAUGCCAUUAAGAUAUAUAAAACUUCAAUAUUGGUGUUUAAAGAUAGAGAUAAAUAUGUUGCUGGAGAGUUUAGGUUUCGACAUGGUUAUUCCAGACAUAAUCCUAGAAAAAUGGUGAGAACCUGGGCUGAGAAAGAACUUAGAAAUUUGAUCAGAAUGCAUUCGAAUGGGUUAAAUGUACCUGAACCAAUUUUACUAAGAUCUCAUGUCUUAGUAAUGGAAUUCUUGGGUAAAGAUGGCUGGCCGUCUCCAAAAUUAAAGGAUGUUGAGAUUAGCCAGUUAAAAUACCGAGAAUUGUACAGAGACAUUGUAGUUAUGAUGUGGAAACUCUUCAAUAAAUGUAAAUUAGUCCAUGCAGAUCUUUCUGAAUUCAACAUGUUGUACCACAAUGGGGAGAUAUAUAUCAUAGAUGUCUCACAGAGUGUAGAGCAUGAUCAUCCACAUUCCUUAGAGUUUUUAAGAAAAGAUUGUACCAACAUCACAGAAUAUUUCAAGAAGAAAGGAGUGGCUACAAUGAUUGUCAAAGAAUUAUUUGAUUUUAUAACUGAUCCAACUAUCAAUGAAAAUAAUAUGGAGGAAUGUUUAAAAGUUUUGUCAGAAAAGGUGACUCAAAGGGAAGUUACACCAGGUGAACAGGCUGAUGAUGAGGUCUUUAAGCAAGCCUAUAUUCCACAAAGAUUAAUAGAUGUAAUCGAUUUUGAAAGGGAUAUUAAUCAAGUGAAAUCAGGCCAAACAAGAGACCUUGUUUAUAAGACUUUGGUCGGACUCAAGGGUGAUUUAAGUGGGGCGGCCCAACAACCAGAAAUUUUGGAAAAGUUGCAUACUGAUGAGAUUAAUGGUAGUUCGGACGACUUAGAAGAGACUAAUUCUGAAGACUCAGAUGCUCAUGAGGGAAGCAAGUUUGUUGAUUCAUCCAGGCCCAAGCAUGAAACUUUGGAAGAAAAAAAGCUUAGGAAAAAAGGAGUCAAAGAAGCGCAGGCUGAGAAAAGGAAAACCAAAAUUAAGAAACAUGUUAAGAAGAGGCAAGGGAAAAUAUCUAAAUAAAUAUUAUUAAUGUCAAAUCUGUUUAAAUGUUUUAUAGUAACUAUGUGUUUUAUUUGAAAUAUGUGCACUUCAACUGGGUUUUAAAUAUUAAUAAGUGUUAAUUAUUAAUUGAUACCUAUUGUUUCAUUUAGUAUGAAUCUGCUUUUAAACCUAAAGCUUUGUUAAAUUGGCAAGUUCCAAAAUUGUAUACAAAAAAAGAGAAGAAAACUUUUAAGGGAACCGAUCCACCAACAAAUACAACACACUUGCCCAUCAUUAAUGAAUUUCACGAUAAUUUGCUAAAUAAUGAUGAACAAGGAGAUCAACCACAUGUUAAUGAUUACAGCACAGAAAAUAAAGAAAACAUUUCCUAUGGAAAAUAUCAAG